rnacentral:tRNA from 1 species
GGGGCUAUAGCUCAGCUGGCUAGAGCACUUGGCUGGCAGCCAAGGGGUCAGGGGUUCGAAUCCCCUUAGCUCCA